CUCUGGAGAUCCCUGUGUACCUGAGGCCUUUUGAAGGUGAGACACGGAAAUAGAAAGGAUCAAACUGAAGAGGAAAGAAACACCUAAAAUAAAUCAUGACAAAAUAUACACGGAUUGCAAGCAUGGCAAACUAAGAUAUAACACUUCAUUCUUCACUAUAUAAAUGCAUUUUAAACAAUUGCUUUGUAUAGGUUUGCAGAGCUUGGUCCAAAAUCAUUGUAAAAAGUUUAAGUGUCAUUUAAACUUGUUACAUCAGACAAACAAGAACCUUAACAGUUGUUAUUCUCUCCCCUGCUCCUAAGUGCUUGCAGAGAGCUGAAUUGAGUUGCCUCCUUUACUGCCCUGAGGAAAUUUCAAGUCCUGCACCUGGCCCUCCGUAAUGAGCACUGCAACAUCCAAAAC